AAGAAUCAGAUUCAGGGUAGAAUCUUCUAGUACGGCCCUAAACCCGGCCGCUCAGGUUGCAUUCAAAACUGGUGACUUCAAUCAGCAAGUAUUUUUUGCUGCCGGGUUGAAGGAAGGAUUCUUGGCUACUGAGUAUUUGGGACCUCUAUCAGUGGCACUGGAGAAAGAAAAUUGGUCUCUGGUUCAGCCUUUGUUGUCCUCUUCAUACACUGGAUAUGGCACCUCCAGCUUGGAGCAAGUACUCUCUUGAAACUUUCAGUAGAUUCUACUAAAAUCAUUUUUCAAACCUGUCAUUGCCGCAUUUGCUCGAAUAUUUCUAGUGUUUGAUUUUAACAUAAACAUUAUUUCAUGCAAAUUCAUGAUCUAUUCAUGUCCUUCUCUUGCUACAAUUUUUGCUGAUUUCCUCUUUUUUUCUUUAAAACAUCCAAGAUUUUAAGGUUUCUUUUUUUUUUAAUUUAUAUCCAAAGUGCCUCAUUCUCAUUUCACCAUGUGUCUUCUCCACAGAUAUAUUGUUUUUUUUUUAUAAACCUUCAGUUUUCAUUUGCGUCCCAUUAUCACUUCUUAUCUUGUGUUUUAUGAAGGAUUCAUCAGAACUUGAAGAACUUAUCGAUUAUUUAGUAACAACGGAAAAAUCAGAAGGUGUUGUACUGCUUGGACACAGUACUGGUUGCCGGGUGUGUAAUAAAUUAUGGAUACAUGGAACAAUUAGCAUAA